AUAUUUGGGAAAUUCUAACGCAUCCAUUGCCUCUUCAUCGACUAGGUGCAUAUGAGAGUAAGGUUCAUUUGGUGGAAGAUCCAGUAAUGCACUUGUGGCAGGGAAGUCUGCAUCGACGCAAAUAUUCUUGUUCGGCGGCUUCCACUUCUUCAUCAUGGUCUGGAUCACUAAAUUCAAUCGUGUUUGUUUCCCUUUUUAAUGUAGGAAAAUGGAUCUUCAUAUGGAGGAGGUGCGGAUGUUGAUGGUGCUGCAUACUGGAUCACAUUGAAGAUAUAAUGCUCCAAACAUAUCUACAACAAGACUGGAUGAAGGUGGAAUAUCGGGUAACGUUUUCCCCUACUCAACAACACUCAACUGUGCAUAAAGCUUCACUACAUUCCCGGAUGAGGAAUGUGUUGCGAUCAUAGUUUCAACAUCAUCAUCUUCAGCUAAUUCAUCGAAUAUGUAAAAAGUCUAUAAAAUAGAGUGGACACUACCUUCCCACAAUGACCGACAGUUUUCCUACUAAUUUUUGCCAUCAAUUCUUUUAUUUUGAUGUUCUUAAUCAACGUUGUGUUUAUCGAGCGUCUUGAAUUAAAUACAACACCGUUUUCAAUA